rnacentral:rRNA from 1 species
UAGGCAGCAGUGGGGAAUAUUGCACAAUGGGCGCAAGCCUGAUGCAGCCAUGCCGCGUGUAUGAAGAAGGCCUUCGGGUUGUAAAGUACUUUCAGUCGUGAGGAAGGUGUUAAGGUUAAUAACCUUAGCAAUUGACGUUAGCGACAGAAGAAGCACCGGCUAACUCCGUGCCAGCAGCCGCGGUAAUACGGAGGGUGCGAGCGUUAAUCGGAAUUACUGGGCGUAAAGGGCACGCAGGCGGUUAAUUAAGUUGGAUGUGAAAUCCCCGGGCUUAACCUGGGAAUGGCAUUCAAGACUGGUUAGCUAGAGUCUUGUAGAGGGGGUAGAAUUCCAUGUGUAGCGGUGAAAUGCGUAGAGAUGUGGAGGAAUACCGGUGGCGAAGGCGGCCCCUGGACAAAGACUGACGCUCAUGUGCGAAAGCGUGGGGAGCAAACGAGGAUUAGAUACC